CACAGGUUCAGGUCCAGAAGUGAAGAGGCUUGAUAUGACAGUUUGCAGAAGAUGGAGCUUUCUGCCAGUGGUGGAUAAUAAAACAUAGGCUUUUUGUCAUGUGUUGUAACCUGCUCAGAAAGUGUCUGCUGUUGGCUGAAGAUUGAGAAUGGCAGAUGUCAGAAAUCACCUGUGUGAUUUCAGAAAGCUGUGAGAUCAAGGGAUCAGAAGAAUGUGCUGAACUAUGCUGGAGAAACUGUGUUCAAAAUCAGCUGCUACAAAUGUGUUUGGCUUCUCAGGUGUUGGUAGUGCCAGUCCUGCGCCAGAGCUAACCUGU
rnacentral:lncRNA from 1 species